rnacentral:lncRNA from 1 species
UACUGUUAUUAUAAUCACAAACAGAAUAAAGACUCGAUGAUUUUGCUACCUCGAAACUGUAAUAUUCACUGCAACAGAUAAACUACAAAAGAUUAUAAGAGGAUCAAGAAUAUGCAAAUAACUAAAUAUCACAACAUAGGUUCAUCGUUUAAUUGCAAGAUGGAAAAUGGCACAAUCUGUAAUGUUUUAUGAUUAAAUGAACAACCUACCACAUUAAAAUAAUCAUACUCGUGGACCAUAUAUGUUUCUUGCCUGUAUAAUAGAUAAGCAAAAGCUACAAACAGAAAAUACACAAAAUGAACUUGCCUAUUUUGCGGCAAUCAUCACUUAAAGACAAAUACAGGAGUAAUGGAUUUACUGUAAUUUCAGACUUAAGCUAAUUUUUUUUUUCUUAUUUCACUUUUGAUAGGAUCAUAAUUUAUCUAAUUUCAAGGCUAACUAUCCAAUCAAAAAACAUUAUUAAAGGCUCAGAAUGAUAAAUGUAACAGAAAAGAAAAGCAAGGCACUUCACUUUGACACACCAGCUACAGUAAUGUUUACUUAAUUAACAUUUAACACACUUCAUUUUCUCAAAAAGAUUGGGUCUCUUCCUUUUCAUGGGGUCAUUAGCUAAAGAUCUGAGAUUCAACCAAAACUCUUAGCAUGCCACGCUUUUAAUAGCGAGUCAAGCUGAUUUUUGCAACAUCCAUCAUCUCUUCAUUUUAUCUUAUCUCAUUUUUACAUCAAACAGAUAGCAUUUGAACAGAUGAACCAAGCUUCCAUCCCAUUAUUUUUUGCAGGACUUUAUAAAGUGUUAUAUACUCUUUCAAUGUAUUUUAAGGUCAUCGUUGCUAUCCUCCCUCCUAACCUACAGGACCCUCCCUUCAAGUUUAAGCCAACUGAAUUCUAGUUUCUUACUCAAUCCUUGAGAUGAUAAAAUAAUCAAAUGUCAUCAUCAAUUCAUGUCAAGUUACAAGGACAAUUUUGAAAAGCUAGGAAAAUGCAUCAAGUCUUUGAUAACCAUAAAAAGAAAACAAAUAGGAUGAACUUUCAUCAUGUGGAUAAGAACCCUAAAGCACAUAAGAACUUUGACGCCAUAACAAAAACAAUAUUAUUCAUUCCCUUUUCUUUAUUUCUUCCUUCAUAUAUUCUGGUACAUGAAUGAUUUCAGGGAAAUCCCAUAAAAUCAUCACAAUAUCACAAUGUCCUAAGAUGCUCUUAACUUCCAUAGCCGUAGCUACAUUACCAAUCCUCCACCAAAUAGAAUCACUUGUUUGAGAAAUCCUUAAAAAAAAUUGAAUUCCUCGUAGUAUAGAUGCAGAGAUCAUAUAAUCAUUCCAGAAAUUCAUCACUUAACUAAUCCAGGUUUAAUCCAACAAAUCACCUAGGUUAGAAGUUUCAGCGAGUUGACCUCCAAAGAAGUUUCAUAUUUCUGCAAAAAUGUAGCCUGAAGCAGAAGGCUCUAAUUAGUCAUGCAAAUACCAACUUUUCAGCCAGUACAACCUAUCCCUUUCCACCAGAAAUCUGGCAUUUUAUCCAAGCUUCAAUUAAGUGAAUAAAAAUAACAAAUAAAUAAAGGAUCAUCAAUUCUCAUGCACAAAAAAUGAUCACCUUUUUGUUUAUAUACAUGUACAUUCCCAGACUUGUGAACUUUCCAUGAAUAUACUAUUCAAACAACUAUACAGUUCAUACUAGGAAGACCUAUGCUACAAGUCCACAACCCCAAGACACCUAAUUUCCCAAGUAUAAACAGAAUUUGGCAUGCAGGAUUCCCAAAGUUGCAAAGUCCCAUGGCAAUCAAUGCAAAUUCUUAUGACAAUCCGCAAUCUAUAUUUCAUUCAUUCAUGGGCAUCCUCAAAUCCAACUCUUCAAGAGCAUUCAAAGCAUUCUUCUUGUCCUAAAACUUUUCACAAUUGAAAACAGCAAUACAUUUUGAAGCACUAGCCUCAUCAAUCAGCAUUCAUAGUUCUCCCUUCUGAUACACUCAAAAAAAAAAAAAAAAUCAACUGAUUUUCUUGCAAAACUCAACUCAAAGCUAAGAUCCUUAAGCUCUCAUUGAAGUAACAAAUCACAUCAUUUCCACAGCUAUUGCAGAAUAGAAUCAUCCAAGUGGCAAUGAAAAUGAACACACAUAUAAAACAAAGAUAUAAAAAAGUUUUAUUAAUGAACAACAGCAAACCAACAAAGAAUGAAAAUCACCGAGCAGCUAAAAGACAACAGACAAAAACAAACAAACAAACAAACAAAUAAAACUUCAGAUCAGCAGAUCAAAACAUCAUAGAGCAAAAACAAAAACAACCCACUAAAAAUAAGACAAUAUAAAAAAUACCCAGAUCAGCAAACAACAAAAGGGUGGUGGGAGAUCCAAUGAAUCGUAACAAAAAUUCGACCUGAUCAGAUGGAAAUGAUAAUCAAAGAGAUGAAGAGGGUACCUUAAAGACACAGAGAGAGGGAUCUCAAUGUGUGUGUGUGUGAAGAGUGAUGAUGGAUUACGAAAAAAGGAAAAGCUGGCAAAUAAAAGAUACUGGGGAAAAGAGAAAGAAAAGUGAAUAAUUGAGGAGGUUGUGUUGUGUGUGUGCUGUGGGUUCUGGGCUCUCUCUCUAACUUUUUUUUUUUUUUAAUUCGUUGGGGGUCUUUUCAGAAAUUGUAAUUCAGAAAGAGAUAGAGAGAGAAAAAUGAAAUGAAUUGUGAUGACGAUGAAGACGAAGAGAGGGUAAAAAAGAGAUAAAAAAUUGAGUGGAGUUAUUUUCUUAUCAUCAGCAGAGCAGGUCGUUAUUUAAGGAAAAGAUCCGGGGACGAUGGCACCGGCCAUGUUGGCUUUCUCUUUUGCUUCGAUGGAUUAUUGCUUUCUUUGCUUUCUUCAAUUUUGGAUUAAUAACAAUGGGAUACUUAACUUUUCAGUUUGUUUCAAGUAGGUCCCUAUUUCUAUUUAAAAUUUUAAAUGAGCAACCUAUAAAUGUUAUUUUUAUUUUUUGACCAUCACAAAUUUUCUUUUAGUAUAAUUGAGAUAACUUUUAUCUGAGACACAUUUUUUAAUGACAUUGAGACUUUAGGUUUUUUAUCUCUCCCAUCUAAUGUGGAGACAAGGCAUGUUCAUUAUACUACAAGCAGAGAUAAAGAGUUAAGGAAGGGAGAGUUCACUAAA